CUUUUUUCCAUCUGGACUAAGACGACUGCUUCCCAUAUCUGCACCGGGAGAAUAAAACAGACUUCUUCCAUUUUUCUGCCAUUCAUAAAUAUUAAAUCUAUUCCACUGAUUACUCUUAACCACUGCCCAGUCAGAUGGAGCCCAUGUCCUCACUGAACGACAGUGUGCCGCCUCAUAUAAACGGCUAUUAUCACUCUGGUUAUGGAGGAGCCAUCACAUCUGAACACGUCACCAGUCAACAGCGUUACAACAACACUGGC